rnacentral:snoRNA from 1 species
GCGAAGGAUUAGGUUUUUAACACUGAGAGCUCUUGAGCUCUGCCCUGAAGAUCACCAAAACGCACACACUCUAAUUUUUAAUGACG